rnacentral:rRNA from 1 species
AUGGAGCAAUGCCGCGUGAACGAAGAAGGUUCUCGGAUCGUAAAGUUCUGUUGUAAGGGAAGAACACGUACGGGAGUAACUGCCCGUACCUUGACGGUACCUUAUUAGAAAGCCACGGCUAACUACGUGCCAGCAGCCGCGGUAAUACGUAGGUGGCAAGCGUUGUCCGGAAUUAUUGGGCGUAAAGCGCGCGCAGGCGGUCUUUUAAGUCUGAUGUGAAAGCCCACGGCUCAACCGUGGAAGGUCAUUGGAAACUGGGAGACUUGAGUACAAAAGAGGAAAGCGGAAUUCCACGUGUAGCGGUGAAAUGCGUAGAGAUGUGGAGGAACACCAGUGGCGAAGGCGGCUUUCUGGUCUGUAACUGACGCUGAGGCGCGAAAGCGUGGGGAGCAAACAGGAUUAGAUACCCUGGUAGUCCACGCCGUAAACGAUGAGUGCUAAGUGUUAGGGGGUUUCCGCCCCUUAGUGCUGCAGCUAACGCAUUAAGCACUCCGCCUGGGGAGUACGGCCGCAAGGCUG